CGUAGGUGCAAGCGUUAAUCGGAAUUACUGGGCGUAAAGCGUGCGCAGGCGGCUUUGCAAGACAGAUGUGAAAUCCCCGGGCUCAACCUGGGAACUGCAUUUGUGACUGCAUGGCUAGAGUACGGUAGAGGGGAGUGGAAUUCCGCGUGUAGCAAUGAAAUGCGUAGAUAUGCGGAGGAACACCGAUGGCGAAGGCAAUCCCUGGACCUGUACUGACGCUCAUGCACGAAAGCGUGGGAGCAAACAGGAUU
rnacentral:rRNA from 1 species